GUAGAUCACGACGGUUUG
rnacentral:tRNA from 1 species